UACGUAGGGUGCAAGCGUUAAUCGGAAUUACUGGGCGUAAAGCGUGCGCAGGCGGUUUUGUAAGUUUGUCGUGAAAGCCCCGGGCUCAACCUGGGAAUUGCGAUGAAGACUGCAAGGCUUGAAUCUGGCAGAGGGGGGGUAGAAUUCCACGUGUAGCAGUGAAAUGCGUAGAGAUGUGGAGGAACACCGAUGGCGAAGGCAGCCCCCCUGGGUCAAGAUUGACGCUCGAUGCACGAAAGCGUGGGGAGCAAACAGG
rnacentral:rRNA from 1 species